AAGGCAAUCUUUAUCUUCUUAGCGGGAAGUUUGCUGACUUAAAAUGUGCGCAGAGCUACAAAAUCAUCUUUUUUUCCUCCAAGUGACAUAGAGUUGAUGUUAAUUUUGAGGAGCGAAAUGAUUCUUGGUAUCCUUCGAGUCAUUUCUACCUAAAUCGCUUCAGCCGCUUGAGGUUGGCCCCGGCCCAGGUUCAUGGCUGCAGGAACACGUUGUCCACGAUGCUGAAACUGGCUGAGGAGUCAGGGCAGCUUUUGGGUUUCUGGGGUUUCCCAUUCUUGUCCCCAGCCCAACCACAGAUCUGCAGGAAUGGGUAAGUUAUCGGGGACACACUUCCAAGCCCGGGUCCCUUUGAUGUGAGGAAAGCAUUGGUGACUACCUCUAAAACUGUCCUCAGCCUGUAAACAAUCGGGGCACGGUGCCAGUGGACAUCUCUUUCAAGAAGCCAAGGCAGACUGUAAAGUGUCUGUUUAUUUACAAAAUCCCUCUUAAGAUAAAUGAAGGGGAAGAACCGGGAGGGAGGGUGAAAAAGCCAACAGGAGUAAAGCAAUUAUGUCAGCGAUGAAUUCCUGACCAGAAAGAGCACAGCUAGGGGACGGGGAGGGCAGUGACUUGCAAAGACGGAAGCAGACCUCUGGGGUUCCUUUGCACAAGCACACAGCUCCUCAGCAGAUGCUGGUUGGCUGUGCAAAGGGCUGGAACAGUAACGGGAGGAAGUUGCUCCCCAGAGCCAGUUGGCAAAUCCAGAAGAUGGUUCUGGAAUAAGUUAAGUUGCAAGAGCGAUUACUUCAUCAUGCUGUUCAAAUGGCAUGACACACUUCCCUGACAGCACUGCCACCACGUGGUGCCUUUACCAACGCUGGAGAAUGUGACUUCUUACACAGACUGCUUUUUCUGUGCUCCAAGUGGUUUCUUUCAAGGAACUACGAAGCCACUGAUGGUUGACACCUGCCCUCAACACGAUGGAGAGCAGCCUGAAGAAUGUUCUGGUGGUUUCCUUUGGAUUCUUGCUUCUCUUUACUGCCUUUGGAGGGCUACAGAAUCUGCAGAGCAGCCUGUACAGAGAGGAAGGCCUGGGGGUGGCAGCGCUCAGCACCAUCUAUGGGGCGGUGCUCGUGUCCUCCAUGUUUCUCCCAUCAGUUCUCAUUAAGAAGUUGGGCUGCAAGUGGAGCAUCGUCAUCUCCAUGUGCUGCUACGUGGCCUUCUCCCUGGGCAACUUCUACGCCAGCUGGUACACUCUGAUCCCCACCUCCAUCAUGCUGGGCCUCGGAGCUGCCCCACUGUGGUCUGCUCAUUGCACGUACCUCACGAUCAUGGGAAACACACAUGCGGAGGAGGCAGGAAAAAUCGGCAAAAAUGUGGUGAACCAGUAUUUUGGCAUCUUCUUUCUCAUAUUCCAGUCAUCUGGUGUGUGGGGCAACCUGAUCUCGUCUCUGGUGUUUGGCCAAAAACCCACUCAAGGGGCCAUCCCAGAGGAGAAUCUCCUGUCCUGUGGGGCAAGCGACUGCCUGAUGGCCACAGCGUCCACCAACAGCACCCAAAGUCCCUCCCAGGAGUUGAUCUACACCCUGCUGGGCAUCUACACAGGGAGUGGCGUGCUGGCAGUCCUGCUCGUAGCCACCUUUCUCCAACCCAUAAAGGAUGUCCAAGAGAAAAGCAAAGGAGAGGAAAAGUCGUCAUCUUUUUGGUCCACUUUGCUGUCAACUUUCAAGCUUCUCAGAGAUAAACGUCUGUGUCUCCUCAUUCUGCUGCCCGUGUACAGUGGGUUUCAGCAAGCCUUCCUCUCGGGUGACUACACGAGGUCGUACGUCACCUGCGCCCUGGGGAUCCAGUUUGUUGGCUACGUGAUGAUCUCCUUCUCGGCCACCAACGCGCUGUGCUCCGUGCUGUACGGGAAGAUCUCCCAGUACACGGGCAGAAUCGCUCUCUACAUGCUGGGCACGGGCAUCCACGUCUCCUGUGUCAUCGCCCUCUUGCUGUGGAAACCACACCCUCAUCAGCUGGCCAUGUUCUUCGUGUUUUCUGGCCUUUGGGGCAUGGCCGACGCCGUCUGGCAGACACAAAACAAUGCCCUUUAUGGCGUUCUGUUUGAGAAGAACAAGGAGGCUGCCUUUGCCAAUUAUCGCCUUUGGGAAGCCGUGGGGUUCGUCAUUGCGUUUGGAUACAGCACGUUUUUGUGCAUCUAUGUCAAACUCUACAUUCUGCUGGGAGUCUUGAGUCUGACGAUGGUGGCGUAUGGAAUUGUUGAGUAUCUGGAGUCCAAGAACCUGGCCCAGCCACUGGCUAUGGAAGAGACAAAGCCAGCAGAGGAAGGAGAAAUACAGACAAAACUGUGAAAGCAACCCCCCAUGGGAGGUGAACUCAGAGGGCAGCAGCAAGAGAGUCUUGUUUGAAGGUGCCUCAGAGUUUGUGGUUGAUUCUUCACAACUAUUUCAGCAAUGGAUGGCCAUUCUGAAGACAGAAAAAGUGCUAGCUGGGCCCCCGUGAUGCUGGAGAUGGAGUGAUGAGCAAAGAUGGACACGGUCCUUUCUCCACGCAGACAGUUGUCAGCCAAGUGAGGAGACAGACGUUGAUCAAUUAAAUAUGAAAUUCCACCUGCUGUGAGUGAUCGUGUUUGUGGCCUCUCCAGUGUCACUUGCCCCCUGUUAGGAUUUCGCCCUGACCCCCCCAGCUCCUGUGGCCAGUGGGACUCUGCUUCCCAUCACCCAGGCUCAACUCUCCUUCAGCACCUUCUCCCUCCACCACCCAUGGGGUCAGGGAUAGGUCCGGCAUUCCUCCUCAGAUCCUCUGACCCGUCUCCUCUGGUCCAUCCUUGGAACCGCCACCUUACUCCACCCCCUCCCCAACCUCACCGUUUCCUAACUUCCAUCCUCCCUACAGGGCACCAGUCCCUCCACACAGGACUGACCACUCCGUCCUGAAGCUCAGCCCCUUUGAGGGUUCCCUCCUGUCUCAAAAUCACAGUCUGCAUCCUGACCAUGACUUUCCAGGCCCUUUGUGACUUAGUUCCAGCCUCCUCUUUUGCCUAAGGUCCAUGUCAGCCAAACUUAACCAUCCAAUAUUUCUCUGAAGCACCUGGUUCUUUCCUCAUGGGCCCUUCGCUCGAGCUGCUCUUGCGUCUCUAUCCAAAUCGCAGUCAUCCUCCCAAACAGAAUGGCAUUGACUCCCGGGCACAAGUGAAAUGCCGUAACUUCUGGAAGCCCUCCACAAUCUUCUCAACAGAGCUAGGACCGACGUUCUCUAAAGCUCUCAACUCUGUUUUCUCGUUUCUGGCCCUUUAUGGCAGGCCAACUCAUGUCGCAUUUGUUGGCAAGAUACCUGACCAUCUUUACAUUUCCCACAGUGUGGAGCUUGGGUUGUUUCAUAGAGAAUCAAAGCUCAGCAAGGAUUUGUAUGGGUCUCAACGAGGAGCCGGUGACAUGCGGCGUCCCCUCCAACCUGCAGGGUUAGGAUCCUGUAAAUAAACCAUGUGGGUCUCCUGGACACCAAUUGGGUCUAAGACAGCCUGCUUUGGAACUGAUCUUUGGUUACACACCCAGCUCAGAGCAUUUGAAUGAGAGAUGCCCUAAUGUACUCAGGAACCCCCUCAUACAUUUUGGGGGGCCCUUGAGGAUUAUCCUGGAGAUACCGGACCAGACUCUCCUGACCCCACCAGGCUCAUCUCCCAAGACAUGGAUGGCACUGAGGUCCAGUGGGAAAGGACCCACAAGCUGAGAGGAGAGUAGAGUCAGGAAGCCUGUACAUGACCCUGGAGAGAUCCCUAUACGGAUGUGUUUAAAUCAUGCCCCCAGGUCAGAGCCGAGGGGCAGAGUGGAGCGCCUGUAGUCUUAAGUUUGAUUUUGUUUUAUUUAUUAUUUUUGGAAGCCUGGGAGGCACCCUCAGCAAUUGUUGACCUUGGGCAUGACCUCGUGCAUGGAGCAGAUCGCUGUUGAGCAUUUGAGGGACAUGUGCACUGAGCUGACUCAGCUUAAAAGGCAAAGGUUAGCCACUCAGUACUGUUUCUAGGAGUGCUCAGUUCCUCCUGAGCCUGGGUGCUGGUACCGAGAAUACUCUGCCUGUAGGGAUCUCUCUGAUGAUCCAUCAGACACCAGAAAAUGAGGAGAAUGUGAGCAGAGAGGCCUGGUCUUGAACCCCAGGCCCAAAGGUCCAGCUUCUCCCAACUGCAGGGAGCAAAGCCCAUUUCUGUGAAAGAGGUGAUGCGGAACAGGGCUGCAUCUCCGAGUGUUCCCGAAGCAGACAUCUCACCGGUUUGCAAGACCUCGCUUGAGGCUCGAGGAUCUGCAGAAUUCAGAUCAGAUGGAUGAGCACACUAUCUUGUUUUGCUGCUGUGGGCACCCUCGGGAAAAUGCGCCAGACGAUGCUUUUGCCAGGAGCCCAAGCCUCCGCGCAUGACUGGAGGUUUUCAAGCCAAGCUCGCCACAGGGCAUGCGGGCUGUCUGGCUGUUUGGUUGGCUGGUGCUGUCGGAUGCUCUCGGAUGAACAGCACUUUCCCAUCUGCUGUGCACACCCUCCAGCUGCUAGGUUGGUCCUCCUGGCUUUCUCUGGAAGACUGCCUAUGGCAUUAGGGCCUUUUCUUUUCUCUUUAUCCUUUGAACUCAUUGAUGAGGAGAAUCUGUGACUGCGCCCGAGUACCCUGGUGCAAGGCCUAGAGAAAAAAUCCUCAGGCUCUUGUCUCUGCCUGUCAGUGGGUGAAGGAUGAGUGGUUCGUCCCCUUGAUAGCGUCAGUAUUGCGUGCGUGUUGGGAACACUGAAUUGCAGCAGAAAGUAAAUUAUUUAAUCUUGUUCUCAGUACUCCAUUUGUAAAAUGGGAAUAUUCCUACUUCAUAGAAAUCAUUAGGGCAAUGUGCUAUCAUAGAACACUGUCAAAACUGUGCAAUGGAGCAGGAAGAAUGACCAUCCCCUAAGAUGAAGGUUAAAUACAGAGUUUUUUCGUGAAUCCUAACCCUCAGUGGAGUUCUUACAAAACCUCAGUUGGAUUUGAUCCAACGCUCGUAAAUCUCUUGGCCCAGCUCCCAGGGCUGAGCUGCAAACACAUUCUUUCAUGACUUGCUCAGAGUAAGCAACGAGGGCAAGAUCUAAAAGUAGACAAUGUAGGAAUGUAUGUCACAAUAUGUUAUUAAAAACUUCCCCCAAAUUAAAGGUAUAUCUAAAAGAAAACUGCUAAAUAUAGAAAUAAGUUAUUUCAAGUUCAAAGAGUAUAAUAAAGAGACAGGGAAUGUGUCAAGAAUCUAGGCUUAGAGCUGGUAUAUAUAUAUACUUACUAUAAUUUACUAAAAUGAGUCCUAAGUUUACGAGCACUGAACACAAGAAAAUACAGAUGAUACAAUAGUCAUUAUUUGACAAAAGGAGGCUUGCCAGUGUUUUAAAACAGAUUAAUUUUCUAGGUACUAAAAUGUAAAGGAGUUUUCGUGUGGGUCCCUAACCAAAGAACGUGGACAAGCACAGCAGACACCAUCUUUGAUGGGUGUUUUUGUAUGUUU